rnacentral:rRNA from 1 species
UGAUCCUGCCGGAGGCCAUUGCUAUCGGAGUCCGAUUUAGCCAUGCUAGUCGCACGGGUUAGACCCGUGGCGAAUAGCUCAGUAACACGUGGCCAAACUACCCUGUGGACGGGGACAACCUCGGGAAACGGAGGCUAAUCCCCGAUACGGCUCUCACACUGGAACUGUCGAGAGGCCCAAACGCUCCUUGUGGGCGCUGGAGGAUGAGGCUGCGGCCGAUUAGGUAGACGGUGGGGUAACGGCCCACCGUGCCCAUAAUCGGUACGGGUCGUGAGAGCGAGAGCCCGGAGACGGAAUCUGAGACAAGAUUCCGGGCCCUACGGGGCGCAGCAGGCGCGAAACCUUUACACUGCACGCCAGUGCGAUAAGGGGACUCCAAGUGCGAGGGCAUAUCGUCCUCGCUAUCCUGUACUGUAGGGUAGUACAGUAUCAAGAGCUGGGCAAGACCGGUGCCAGCCGCCGCGGUAAUACCGGCAGCUCAAGUGAUGGCCGAUCUUAUUGGGCCUAAAGCGUCCGUAGCUGGCCCUGAAAGUCCGUCGGGAAAUCCAUCAGCCCAACUGAUGGGCGUCCGGCGGAAACUCCAGGGCUUGGGACCGGAAGGCUCGAGGGGUACGUCCGGGGUAGGAGUGAAAUCCCGUAAUCCCGAACGGACCACCGAUGGCGAAAGCACCUCGAGAAGACGGCUCCGACAGUGAGGGACGAAAGCUAGGGUCUCGAACCGGAUUAGAUACCCGGGUAGUCCUAGCCGUAAACGAUGUUCGCUAGGUGUGGCACAGGCUACGCGCCUGUGCUGUGCCGCAGGAAGCCGAGAAGCGAACCGCCUGGGAAGUACGUCUGCAAGGAUGAAACUUAAAGGAAUUGGCGGGGGAGCACUACAACC